CAAGGUCUCCGUAGGUGAACCUGCGGAGGGAUCAUUACACAAAU
rnacentral:rRNA from 1 species